UACGUAGGGCGCAAGCGUUGUCCGGAAUUAUUGGGCGUAAAGAGCUCGUAGGCGGCCAGUUGCGUCUGCUGUGAAAUCCCGGGGCUCAACCCCGGGCGUGCAGUGGAUACGGGCUGGCUAGAGGCAGGCAGGGGGAGAACGGAAUUCCCGGUGUAGCGGUGAAAUGCGCAGAUAUCGGGAGGAACACCGGUGGCGAAGGCGGUUCUCUGGGCCGGUACUGACGCUGAGGAGCGAAAGCGUGGGGAGCGAACAGGAUAGAAACCCCGGU
rnacentral:rRNA from 1 species